UACGUAGGGGGCCGGCGUUGCUCGGAAUUACUGGGCGUAAAGGGUCCGUAGGCGGUGCGGAAAGUCGAUAGUGAAAUCUCUGGGCUUAACCCAGAGGCUGCUAACGAAACUGCCGUGCUAGAGUGUGAGAGAGGCGAGUGGAAUUACGGGUGUAGCGGUGAAAUGCGUAGAUAUCUGCAGGAACACCCGUGGCGAAGGCGGCUGACUGGAUCGCAACUGACACUGAGGAACGAAAGCUAGGGGAGCAAACAGG
rnacentral:rRNA from 1 species